rnacentral:rRNA from 1 species
GAUGAACGCUGGCGGCGUGCCUAGUACAUGCAAGUCGAGCGAACAGAUAAGGAGCUUGCUCCUUUGACGUUAGCGGCGGACGGGUGAGUAACACGUGGGUAACCUACCUAUAAGACUGGGAUAACUUCGGGAAACCGGAGCUAAUACCGGAUAACAUUUGGAACCGCAUGGUUCUAAAGUGAAAGAUGGUUUUGCUAUCACUUAUAGAUGGACCCGCGCCGUAUUAGCUAGUUGGUAAGGUAACGGCUUACCAAGGCAACGAUACGUAGCCGACCUGAGAGGGUGAUCGGCCACACUGGAACUGAGACACGGUCCAGACUCCUACGGGAGGCAGCAGUAGGGAAUCUUCCGCAAUGGGCGAAAGCCUGACGGAGCAACGCCGCGUGAGUGAUGAAGGGUUUCGGCUCGUAAAACUCUGUUAUUAGGGAAGAACAAACGUGUAAGUAACUGUGCCCGUCUUGACGUUACCUAAUCAGAAAGCCACGGCUAACUACGUG